rnacentral:lncRNA from 1 species
GGGUAGGGGGGGGUUCAAGGAGGGGUUGGUGGGACCGGUUCCCGCUCCCAGUGCGACCAGUAUGCCCAGUUCCCUCUCCCAGAGCUCCCAGUAUGCCCAGUUCCCUGUCUGAGUGCUCCCAGUAUGCCCAGUUCCCUCUCCCAGAGCUCCCAGUAUGCCCAGUUCCCUGUCUGAGUGCUCCCAGUAUGCCCAGUUACCCAUCUCAGCACACCCAGUAACCCCAGUUCCCUCUCCCAGAGCUCCCAGUAUGCCCAGUUCCCUCUCCCAGAGCUCCCAGUACGCCCAGUUCCCUCUCCCAGAGCUCCCAGUAUGCCCAGUUACCCAUCUCAGCACCCCCAGUAUGCCCAGUUCCCUCUCCCAGAGCUCCCAGUAUGCCCAGUUCCCUCUCUCAGAGCUCCCAGUAUGCCCAGUUACCCAUCUCAGCACACCCAGUAUGCCCAGUUCCCUGUCUGAAGGCUCCCAGUAUGCCCAGUUACCCAUCUCAGCACAACCAGUAACCCUAGUACCCUCUCCCAGAGCUCCCAGUAUGCCCAGUUCCCUGUCUGAGUGCUCCCAGUAUGCCCAGUUACCCAUCUCAGCACACCCAGUAACCCCAGUUCCCUCUCCCAGAGCUCCCAGUAUGCCCAGUUCCCUCUCUCAGAGCUCCCAGUAUGCCCAGUUCCCUCUCCCAGAGCUCCCAGUAUGCCCAGUUUCCUCUCCCAGAGCUCCCAGUAUGCCCAGUUCCCUCUCCCAGAGCUCCCAGAAUGCCCAGUUCCUCGUCCCAGUGCUCCCAGUAUGGCCCCGUUACCCAUCUUAGCACACCCAGUAACCCCCGUUCGUUCUCCCAGAGCUCCCAGUUCGCCCAGUUCCCUGUCUGAGUGCUCCCAGUAACCCCAGUUACCCAUCUCGGUACACCCAGUAACGCCAGUACCCUCUCCCAGAGCUCCCAGUAACCCCAGUUCCCUCUCCCAGAGCUCCCAGUAUGCCCAGUUCCCUGUCUGAAGGCUCCCAGUAUGCCCAGUUACCCAUCUCAGCACACCCAGUAACCCCAGUACCCUCUCCCAGAGCUCCCAGUAUGCCCAGUUCCCUCUCCCAGUACACCCCAGUACACCCACUGCCUCCCAGUCUCUCUGCCCAGUCCCCCCAGUCUGCUCCAGUUCGCACCCAGUGCUCCCCAGUAUACCCAGUGCCUCCCAGUAUGCCCCAUUUCCUCACUCCAGUGCCUCCCAGUGUGCCUGGUCCUGCUCCCAGUGCCUCCCAGUGCCUCCCAGUAUGUUCUGCUGCUCCCCAGGUGCCCCAGUUCCUUGUCCCAGUGCUCCCAGUAUGGCCCAGUUACCCCUCUUAGCACACCCAGGAACCCCCGUUCGUUCUCCCAGAGCUCCCAGUACGCCCAGUUCCCUGUCUGAGUGCUCCCAGUAACCCCAGUUCCCUCUCCCAGUGCUCCCAGUAUGGCCCAGUUACCCAUCUUAGCACACCCAGUAACCCCAGUUCCUUCUCCCAGAGCUCCCAGUAUGCCCCAGUACCCUCUCCCAGUGCUCCCAGUAUGGCCCAGUUCGCCCCAGUGGGUGCGAUGUGCGCUGAUUUUUCUGCGCCCAGUACAACCCAGUAUAUCCCAGUCACUGCCCAGUCGGUCCCAGCGCCCUCCCAGUCUGUCCCAGUAUAUCCCAGUAUCCUCCCAGUCCUCCCAGUUCCCCAGUCCUCCAGAGGCCCCUGUGGAGGCCGGAAGUGCCGCUCUGGCCGAACUCGUCUCUCCCCACGGAAAGGAAGUGACGUAGGAGGGGGGCCAAUAUUGACUUCCGGGAGGGCGGGGUCGCGGUACCGGCCCCCCCUCGUCACGUGACCAAGCACCCGGUGACGUCACUGCAUUGGCGGAAGUGCUGGGAGAGCCCGGGAGAGGCCGAAGGAGCCGGGUGAGGGCCCGGGGGCCGCCCCCGGGGUCAUAGAGAGGGGCCGGGGGGAGAGGGCAGAGGGGCCCGGGCCCGGGGAUCAUAGAGACGAUGGGGGGCGGGCUAGAGGGGCCCGGUACCGGGAUCAUAGAGUUGAGGGAGGGGGCCUAGAGGGGCCCGGGGAUCAUAGAGACGAUGGGGGGCGGCCUAGAGGGGCGCAGGGAUCAUAGAGACGAGGGAGGGGGGGCUGGAGGAGCCCGGGACCGGUGGGACCAUAGAGAGGCGCGGCCGGUACCGGAGUGACGUAGGGGCCGCGACCAUAGAGAGGCCUCCGGGCUGGAUAGGGAGGACUUCCGGGUUGAGGGCACCAUAGAGUCGGGGGGGCCUUAACCAUAGAGUUGUGGGCCCCGAGACCAUAGAGAGGGACCAUAGAGAGGGGCGAGGUGGGGGCUGGAGGACCCCGGGGGGCGGGGCUUGAGCUCCUCGCCCGGUG